ACAACCAGUACCGCCGGCUGGCCAGUAGAUACGGAAUGUUCUGCAUCUAUCUGGUUGACCGUUCAAUAUUAGUUUCUGAAAUUUUUCCAGUAAGCACCCAUAAUGCUAUUGAAUUAAAACAUGUGAGUUUUAAGUAUUUGGACGGAAAAGUUUAAACUAGAACCGUUGUCGAAAACAAUGCUGUAAAAUGUAACAAAUCAAUACUUCUAUCAGAGUGGACGAUGACUCAUGGCUAAAAUCACAUAUGAAUGAUCUCAUAUGAAUUAAAUAAAUGUUCAUUCGCGCACACCUUUAGUUGCACCUUAGACGUUGAAAAGAGAGAAAAAAAAAACGAAAGGAAAAAAAUGUUUCUAGUCUGCAGCCUGGAUUUAUCUUAGGAUGAUAGGUAAAUUUUAAUUGAAUUAUAAUUUACAAUGGAUAACAUCAACAAUCUUCCUGUAGAGCUGUUAGCAUAUGUCUUCAACUACCUAAGCUUUCGUGAUCGCAAAAAUGCAUACGCCGUUUGCACCCUGUGGCACAACAUUCUGCACAGUGCUCGAUUCCAACGCCAAUGCAAGGUGUCACUGAAUCGCAGCUUCGACGAUGACCUGAACGAUUUAGAAAAACGCGUUCUCCGUUGCUUUCGGAAUAUUCGUAUAUACUCCCUUGGUGUAACAGAUUUUGAUGAUGUUGAACUAGUGGGCAAAUAUGAUAUGAUACAAUUUAUGUACUUAUAUGAACCAACUCCAGAGCACCGCCUGAUACAGUUAUUAUUUGAAAGUAAACUGGAUCUUGAAAGUCUGGAACUGUCAAGAACGUUUGAAAGUUGUCGUGGGAUUCUCGAGAAUCGAUUGCCGAGAAUAAGGAACCUGCGUGAGCUCUCGUUAGAUUUUGAAAUAAGUGAAAAUAUUAUCCCAGAGCAAUAUGCAACCACGUGGACAAUCCAACAUCAUCAAAUAGAGAAGCUAAGAAUUGAUCUUCCCUGUGCAAAUUUACCAUUUAAUGUAAUAACACCAAAUUUAACUAGUCUCCACGUGGAUACAAAUUGUCGCCGGGGCUAUCAGAUAAUCGAAGCUUACUGCAGGCAGUUGCAGUGUCUGGAAGUAACUAUCAAGGACGCGGAAACGCUCGAUGAUAUUAUGGCGCUGCCUUUUCCUUGUCUAACGCAUCUGCAAACUUGGGCCUAUGACGCUAACGACAACCAGAUGCAGAUUCUUUACGCUCAAAGACGUAUUAAAUUCAUGGAUGUGGAAAAAGAAGAACAGUUUGUCAUUGGAAUGCCAAAAUUGAAAAGCUUUCAUUCGGCAAAUAAUUUAAUGUUCUUUCGCAUUAGUACGGCACUUUCAAAAUUUGCCGAACAGCUCGUCGAAUUGACUCUGGAGAAUCAGGAAAUGGAUGCGGAACAAAUCAAAGCUUUCGAAGUGAUACCGAUUAAGGUGCUCAACAUACGACGAUGCAAAAUUCUGACCCCAUUCCAGACUCUACCGAUACUGAACAUGCCUCAGGUAACCUGUCUGGAACUGUGGUACAAUGAGUCAGAUAUUGUUUUCGAUAACGGGCUUUCUGAGCUCAAAUCGCUGAAGUUGACACUAAGUACAUCAAAGAAUCACAAAGUCCUGCACAAAAUAUGUCGUAACUUGCCGAGUUUGGAACAUUUGGAACUGUGGGCAUACAGAUUGCUGGUUAACACAGCUUUUCGAUAUCUGCAUAAACUGACGAAGCUAAGGUCGCUAAAAUUGAUCGAAUGCGAAACGAAGACACGCUUUUGGACACAUUGCUCAGUGAUACCUACUGUCCGUAGGGUAGAUUUUAUAAAAUGUAACUUAGAUGCUCCCACGUUUCAGCGUCUGGCAGAAAUUUUUCCCGGUCUCAGCGAACUCAUAUUGGAAAGAUGCAAAGUUCAAUUCAACGGUGAAGGUUCCGGUACGAACAGCAGUAUAUCGACGUCAAAGUUGGACAGCGAAAGCAGAAGUACUUGUUUGCAGCAAUUGAACGAAUUGUUUCCUCUGUGUACGAUUUCGUUGUACUAACAAUUUCAUUGACACAUUUACUAUGGUUAGACGCUACAAUUUUCACUAAUGAGACUGAUGGAUCCAGAAGUCAAACCAGCAGAAGGAAAAGGAACAAAUAAUCUCGAAUAGAAAAAACCAGCAUGGAAAGGAACUGGUACCACAACUUAAUAAUAUCGACCAUUUUCGCGACAAGCAUUUGAAAAAAAAAAUGCUUGCUGAUAUGACUGGGGGAAAUUGGUAACGGCCCUUCGAUCUCUCUAGCGAAUAGUGGAUUUUCAACCCUCAUAUAUGACUGAAGUCAUCACUCCACUCAAACAAAACCAUGCGUUCUCCCCACGCACACCUAAUGCCCCCCUGAUUGAUUCUCUAGUUGGUCAAACAAGCAUCAAAUAAACAUAGAUAUUAGUCUGCUUAGUCCAAAGCAACGUCCGCCGCAUCACCCGGCGAAUACGUCCUCGCUUACAAUGCCAUCAAAUCAUCAAAUUUUAAAAUUGCGUACGACAGAAUAUGUGUAACAAAAUAUGAGCGGAAAAAAUAGUUGCGUAACCAAAGUAACUCACUGCACUGUUGAUGAAUCACCCAACAAAAAUAAGUGAUAAGGGACGCGGCCGAAAAAAGCUGACCACCGUUCCAAUCCGAAAUGAACAGUUACUGUGCUUGGGCAGGUUACACACUGAUCGAUACAGCAGAAAUCGUCCUAUUUCUAAUAGACCUGCAAAAUGUGUGUAUUAACCGCUAUGUAUCCGACGCGGUACCCGGGUACCUUUUUAGGUUUCAAUUGAUUAAAAACCUUUGUUUUAUCCAUAGCUGGAAAUUGAAACUUUGAAUCAUCUUAGAACUUCACUAAGUCAAGCUUUUGGGUUAAUAAUAUUGUUGAUAAAGUAAGUGGGGGAGUUAGGAGGGGCUCCUGAUUUUUUUUACUACGUAACAGGCCGACGUAGGUACCCGGGUACC